AGGCCAAGACUGAUGCGCGCCUUUGAUUGCUCUGGUGCAGAAGACUUCCCCCCAGCUGCCUCACCCAACGCAGUCCAUAACAUCUCACUGAUAUAGAGGCUCUUAAACUUUCAUAUCUCAUCUCAACGUUUCCUGUCAUAUAUAUAUAUAUAUUGUAUUGUGUAUAACGCCUGUCUAUUUAAAAGGAAGUAAGUUCUUUAACUUUUGUAACUAAUGCAACUCUGUACUGUUCAUUUAUACGAAAGGAUAUUUUGUUAAAAAGUUAUUGUGAUUGUGUGUAUGCUUGAGUCUGUGCGAAUUAAAGUUGAUUUAACAACCUGCAAAAAAUACCCACCCUUCUGUAUAAAUAAACAAUAAGCCAUUGUAUGGCUUCCGCUGCAGCUUAUGAAAACCUGCCUGCGAUUCUUCUAUGCGUGUGAACUUUUGCCUUCCUCGGCUCGACGCCGCAGACUAAAUUGGCUUGUCUUUUUCACCCAACCGCACUCCAACAGCCACACGCAGUUCCAUUCAGCUCGCGAUUAGCAUAUUUGUGAUAUUACAUUUUCCAUGACAAGUAACGUUUGCAUUUGUUAGCUUUCUUGUUUAUAACUAAAUCACAAGAUUGCAACUUUUUCCGACUCUCGGCCACUCCAUCCAGUAUCAAGGAGGAGGCUACCCUAGCGAACAGUCAAAUAACAAAAAUAUGAGAAGUUUAUGCGAACAUAACGAACAAGUUGGAAAGCAACUGCAAUUCGCGAUUAGACCAUUUUGAAAAGUGAAAAACGAGAAGACGCCAACACAGAGAACUGAGAAGACAGCUAUGGACCAAGAUGACAGUCUCUUUCCCCGUGUUACAAGAACUUUUUGGGCAGCGUGGGCCUACAUCACGACCUCUGUGGUCAGAUUUCUGAGAACAGAAGCUGACGCAGAAAGCCCCAAUAGCCUCCCUGGUCACGAAGAUGAUGUUGCCGUAGAGACAGUCAGCCAGAAGUGUGAGGAAGAGCAUCCUGAGCGGGGAACGACAGAGACUGAGAUAGCUGUGGGGUCACCCAUGCUCACAGAGGUGCGCAGCCACGUACCCACAGUCAAGUGGCAGAAGCAGGAGGGUGCCACUGGUUGUCAUGACGAGGAAACAAAUGUUUACAGCGUGCAUUACUCCAAAACUAGUGACGCAGAGAGAGGUCUGGAGGGUGAGGAACCGGAACAAGUGAGUUUUCAUAAGCAAGAUGAUCGUAAGCAAGACAUUGCUGCUGAGAGUGGGGAACACGAGAAGAAGCACAUCCAGCAUGCCACCGGAAGUGAGGAUCGUCACAGAGAGACCCUGGACAUCACCUUGAGCCCAACAGAGCAUGCCACUGGAAGUGACAGCAAGCUUGGCACACUGAUGGAAAAGGUGGAUGAAACAUUGAGAACCAAGGCCAAAGGUUUAGUGAUGAGUGGCGACUCUGCGGCGGGGGAUUCUAGGAUUGAGGGAGGAAGUGAGCUCCGUGACUCUGAGGGAGUGCACAGUGUUGUCAGAGGCCGGGAAGACUCACAGGAGGAGGAGAUGAUGAUGAUGAUGAUGAUGGAGCAGAAAUUAGAUUCUGGGGAUGAUGCAGGAGCACCUCAGACCAUUGGCACCCAUACAGAAGAAGACGCAGUAGUGUUCAAUGUCACCCUCACUGAGCUAAGCGCACCACUGUCAAACGCCAGCCCUACCCACCAGGAAGUGGCAGUGACUGAUGCCACCCUUAAAGACCAAGACAAACCACUGCCCAUCGCCACCUUCACAGACCACGAAGAGGAAAUACACACAUUAAGCCGUGGACAGGAGGAGGUGGCAGUGACGUCAUCGGUUGAAUGUGUAGAUGAGGUGGUAAAAACACAGGAAGUGGAUGGUGAAAACUAUGCAGAGGUAUCUGUGGCCAACUUCACCUCUCUAGAUCAAGUAGACAGCGUACACAAUAGCCUGAGGGAAGAUCAGGAGCUGAUUUCGCCUCAAUCUGUUGAACAACCAAUGACUGUAUGGUAUUACAAAGAGGUGGAAGAAGAUGCAGAGGCAUCUGAAAAUGAAGAGUGUGAAGGUGGGCUACAAGAGGAAGCAGAGAGAUCAGGAGGCCAAAGGACUGAGGUUCCUGCUGAUGAUAAACAUCUAUGUGAAACAUCAGAGGAGGCUGGGAAGGAAUUAGCUGAUGAAGAUAAUCAAAGAGAUCUAGAGGAACUAGGGUUAGAAGGCCAGGUCACUGAAGAUGAUGACCAAAAAGCAGGGGACCAGGAUGAGGAGGAGAUGAUAGAACAGGAAUUAGUUUGUGCAAAUGACCAAAAUAGACUUGAAGUAGAGCCACUACAAGGCCAAAUCAAAGAAGAAGAUGACACGGAAGAAACUAUUCCUGCCAAACAUAUGUGUGAAGAACAGGAAGAGAACAGCUCUGAGGAAGAGGAAGACUAUGGAGAUGGAGAGAAGGAAGAGAGCACAUGGAGAGACGACGCAGCAGUAAUGCUACAGGAUUCUCCACUGGCAGCAGAACCAGUCAUUGUGACAGACACGACUCUAGCCAUUUCAGAGAUGUGUGAAGAGGACCUGCUGAUGGUUGGACAGUACACACAGGAAAUGAGCGCAAAUGCACAGGAAACCAUGGAUGGCGCAAGUGAGGUUACUAAUAUUGCCAUUGACCACAGCGUGGAGGAACAGAGACCACGGAAAGCAGAACCAUUUAGCGAGGAGGCGGAGGAGGAACACAAAGAUGAGUUUGAAGACUUGAGACCUGCAGAGGAAUCAGAAGAUGAGGGGGUCUCCAUUAAACCCGAUGACACGGAGGUCCAGGAAGCACACGGAGGAUGGGAUUCCAAGUCAAACUCUGAAGAAGAAGGCGACAAUGAUUUCAAUGAAGACUUCACAUCCUCGAUCACAGAGGCCAGUGAUGCAUUACUGUACCAUGCAGAGAUACCAGAGUUGGAGUCUAUGGAGGCAGGGACAGAGGCCUCACUGCUGAGGGAGGAUGCAGACGCAACAACCACAGAGGAAGAGUAUAUUGAGGCAGGGACAGACGCUUUACUCCAGAUGGAGGAUGCAGACACAACAACCACAGAAGAAGUUAUUAGCGUAGCCAGCAAACCCGAAGACUCAGAGUUAGACAUGCUAAGGGAAUCACAGAUGGAAUCUCUGGAAUCCGGAAUAGCUGCAGGAUCAGGUCACACUGAACAUGAUCACACACCUGACAUCCUCCGUAAUAAUCGUGACGGCAUCAUGGCUGACCCUGGGUUUGUGAAGGAGACCUCUGGAAUGGUCAUGCCACGUGAUGCACCUGAAGACAUAACUCCAGAAAAUUCAGAUUCAGAAAGGGAACACAAUCUUUCAGAGACGUCUGAGUCUAUGCCAGAGUCUGAAUCAAAACACAGACUGCAGGAGGAAGCAGAGCACAAGAUGAAGAGGCAAUUAUCUAAUCAAUCAAAUUCAUCAGAUGAAGGCAGGGAAUUGGAGAUCAAGGGAUUGACCACCACAAUAUUCACAGAUGAAAAGCAAAGGAUGGAGUCCGAAAGUAAACUAUAUGGUGAUGUGGUGAUGGGUUCAGAACGUGUCGAUGUGUCGAUGGACAAUAGUAAAUUAAUAAGUGGUAAUAUGGAUUCUGAGGCUAAAUGUAUUGAGGUAACAGAGGAACAAAUAAAAGAACCGGAGAAAGACAUGGUGGAGGCCAGCGGAACCACAGCCCCAGAGACCGGGAUGGAGAUUGACCCGCAACCACAGCCCGACUCAGAGAACACAGCGCCGAUGUCUCAGGAGGAUGUGGAAGGGGAGGAUGACAAAUUAUUAAAGCAAACAGAAGGUUCCAGUGCUUUAUCGGAGAAGACAGACCCUAAUAAAGGCGCACCACAAAAAGAAGGGAAUGGGACUGAAAGCACUUUAGUAAAGGGGAUCGCAGGGAUGGAGUCGGAGUCGGACUUUCACUCUUCAGAGACUAAUGCCGUGUCAGACGGAUCACUGCGCCUGGGACAGGAGGUGAUCAAAGGAGAAGAAGCAACAUCUGAGGCCCCUCAGAGACAAGCAGACACCAACACACUGUGGUCAGACCAACAGAUCCUUACACCAGAGGCAGACACCAACACACCGUGGUCAGACCAACAGAUCCUUACACCAGAGGCAGAUACCAACACACUGUGGUCAGACCAACACAUCCUUACACCAGAGGCAGACACCAACACACUGUGGUCAGACCAACAGAUCCUUACACCAGAGGCAGACACCAACACACCGUGGUCAGACCAACAGAUCCUUACACCAGAGGCAGAUACCAACACACUGUUGUCAGACCAACACAUCCUUACACCAGAGGCAGACACCAACACACUGUGGUCAGACCAACAGAUCCUUACACCAGAGGCAGAUACCAACACACUGUGGUCAGACCAACAGAUCCUUCCACCAGAGGCAGACACAGGAGAACCCCCAGAGCUGUCUGAGUGCUCCAUGGAACAAAAAGCACUGAAGGAGUCAGUUGUGGAGCCACAAGCUCCACAGAGCAUUAACCCAGAGUCUGAGAGCGAAUGUGAUGAGAAGAUACUUGAAGGCACCGGCAAGACUGAAUCCGGGGGGUUGUGUGAAACGGGAUCCAUCAGUAGUGAUGAGGACGAACAGCACAGAGAGAAUGCUGCAAAAAUGAACUUGAUAUGGGAACCGGCAGAAAAUAAAAGUGAAGUACUGGAAGACAAGGUAGAAAAUGAAUCUGAAUCAGUGAUGGAGAUCGUAACAGACAUGACUGGAGAAAUAGAGUUUGAAACAGCGCAAGAGGGAAGAGCUCGGAUGCCAGUAGCAGAACAGGAUCAUAUGGAGGACGACAUACAAGAGGCUUUACCAGAAGAAGAAGACAUGGCAGAAUUAAAUGGUAAACCAGAUGUUCAACACAUGGCAACCAUGAAGGCAGAGAGCGAAGAAACAACCAAACUGGAUGGGAGGUCAGUGUUGAAAAGAAAAUUUGAAAAUGUCACAACAGAGGAAGAGGCACUCGCAGAUGAGCCAGACCACACACAGCCUCUGGAGGAAUUAUCAGCAGGGGACUUCAGACUGCAGGUGUCCUCUUUGGACUUCUCAGUCCAGAAGUCUCGCAUAGCGGUGAAAAACCCCCUGGUCCGACCUCCCAAAGACCCGCGCACCCUCCUGAAUCUGCCCUCUCUGGAACCCACGCCCAGAGCGGCAGAGGCCCCCCCAGGCCACCCCGGCAAAAAGGUUCCCAUGUUCGGAGUCCCACUGGGAGGUCUCGGGGUAAUGGGGGUCAAACUGCCCGGACUAGGAGCUGGGUUUCCUGUGUUGAGAAAAACAAAUCAAGAGGCAAAAGAAGAAAAGAAGUCAGAAGGCUCCCCAGCACUGGUGCUUAACACUCUGUCUUCACACUGUAUGUAUAUCUGCCUUGUGUUCAGUGUCUUAAAGCUCAGUGUCAAUGCUGCUGUUCCUCUCUCUUAG
ensembl:lncRNA